rnacentral:rRNA from 1 species
AUUGAACGCUAGCGGCAUGCCUUACACAUGCAAGUCGAACGGCAGCACGGGAGCAAUCCUGGUGGCGAGUGGCGAACGGGUGAGUAAUAUAUCGGAACGUGCCCAGUCGUGGGGAUAACGUAGCGAAAGCUACGCUAAUACCGCAUACGAUCUAUGGAUGAAAGCGGGGGAUCGCAAGACCUCGCGCGAUUGGAGCGGCCGAUAUCAGAUUAGGUAGUUGGUGAGGUAAAGGCUCACCAAGCCGACGAUCUGUAGCUGGUCUGAGAGGACGACCAGCCGCACUGGGACUGAGACACGGCCCAGACUCCUACGGGAGGCAGCAGUGGGGAAUUUUGGACAAUGGGCGCAAGCCUGAUCCAGCAAUGCCGCGUGCAGGAUGAAGG